UAAUGUAGACAGAAAAAGGAAGCCCCGCGUGAACAGGGCUUCCCAUGUAGAGCCGUUUAAGACGGUGGCAUUAAUUAACGACUUAAAA
rnacentral:sRNA from 1 species